rnacentral:rRNA from 1 species
GUCAAAGCGUUCAUUAAAGUCGAGUUGGCUUAGGGAUACGUUCGUUGGGUAGGGGAGCGUUCUGUAAGCCUGUGAAGGUGUGUCGUGAGGCAUGCUGGAGGUAUCAGAAGUGCGAAUGCUGACAUAAGUAACGAUAAAGCGGGUGAAAAGCCCGCUCGCCGGAAGACCAAGGGUUCCUGUCCAACGUUAAUCGGGGCAGGGUGAGUCGACCCCUAAGGCGAGGCCGAAAGGCGUAGUCGAUGGGAAACGGGUUAAUAUUCCCGUACUUGGUGUUACUGCGAAGGGGGGACGGAGAAGGCUAUGUUGGCCGGGCGACGGUUGUCCCGGUUUAAGCGUGUAGGUGUGUGUUCCAGGUAAAUCCGGUUCACUUUAACACUGAGGCGUGAUGACGAGGCACUACGGUGCUGAAGCAACAAAUGCCCUGCUUCCAGGAAAAGCCUCUAAGCAUCAGGUAACAUCAAAUCGUACCCCAAACCGACACAGGUGGUCAGGUAGAGAAUACCAAGGCGCUUGAGAGAACUCGGGUGAAGGAACUAGGCAAAAUGGUGCCGUAACUUCGGGAGAAGGCACGCUGACACGUAGGUGAAGU